rnacentral:rRNA from 1 species
UGCCCUUUGUUUAUGAAUAAACGGUAAGGUCUGCUCCCUGAUUUUCUUUAAAGUGCCGCGGUAUUCUGACCGUGCGAAGGUAGCAUAAUCAAUAGUCUUUUAAUUGAUGGCUGGGAUGAACGAUUUAAUGAGGUUUUCACUGUCUCUAGCAAAUGAGUGAAUUUUAUUUUUUUGUAAAAAAGCAAAAAUAAUUUUAUUAGACGAGAAGACCCUAUAGAUUUUUACAACAGUUUUGGUUCCCUAGAAGAAAAGUUUAGCUUAAAGAGGACCUAAGAGGUUGUUUGGUUGGGGCGACAGGAAAAGAAGCAAAGCUUUUCUUUAUAGAUGAUACAAAUAUGUAAAUACAGGACCCAAAAAGAUUGAUUAGAAGAAAAAAAUACCUUAGGGAUAACAGCGUAAUUUUUUUUAAGAGUUCAUAUCGACAAAAGCGAUUGCGACCUCGAUGUUGGAUUAAGAGUAACUCUCGGUGCAGAAGCUGAGAGAUGAGGUCUGUUCGACCUAUUAUAUCUUACAUGAUCUGAGUUCAGACCGGCGUGAG